rnacentral:rRNA from 1 species
GUGGGGAAUCUUGCGCAAUGGGCGAAAGCCUGACGCAGCCAUGCCGCGUGGAUGAUGAAGGUCUUAGGAUUGUAAAAUCCUUUCACCGGUGAAGAUAAUGACUGUAGCCGGAGAAGAAGCCCCGGCUAACUUCGUGCCAGCAGCCGCGGUAAUACGAAGGGGGCUAGCGUUGCGCGGAUUUACUGGGCGUAAAGGGCGCGGAGGAGGACAUUUAAGUCAGGGGUGAAAUCCCGGGGCUCAACCUCGGAAAUGACAUUGAUACUGGGUGUCUUGAGUAUGAGAGAGGUGUGUGGAACUCCGAGUGUAGAGGUGAAAUUCGUAGAUAUUCGGAAGAACACCAGUGGCGAAGGCGACACACUGGCUCAUUACUGACGCUGAAGCGCGAAAGCGUGGGGAGCAAACAGGAUUAGAUACCCGAGUAGUCC